GGUUAAGCUACUAAGGGCGCACGGUGGAUGCCUUGGCACUAGAAGCCUAAGAAGGACGGGACGAACACCGAUAUGCUUCGGGGAGCUGUAAGUACGCUUUGAUCCGGAGAUUUCCGAAUGGGGGAACCCACUAUCUUUAAUAGGAUAGUAUCCAUUUCUGAAUACAUAGGGAAUGGAAGGCAGACCCGGGGAACUGAAACAUCUCAUUACCCGGAGGAAGAGAAAGCAAACGCGAUUUCCUGAGUAGCGGCGAGCGAAACGGAAUCAGCCCAAACCAGAGGGCUUGCCCUCUGGGGUUGUAGGACGUCUCUUUGGAGUUACAAAGGCACGGAUAGACGAAGCGACCUGGAAAGGUCCAUCAGAGAAGGUAACAAUCCUGUAGUCAAAAUCCGCUGCCCUCCGAGACGGAUCCUGAGUACGGCGGGACACGUGAAACCCCGUCGGAAUCCGGGAGGACCAUCUCCCAAGGCUAAAUACUCUCUAGUGACCGAUAGUGAACCAGUACCGUGAGGGAAAGGUGAAAAGCACCCCGGAAGGGGAGUGAAAGAGAACCUGAAACCGUGUGCCUACAACUAGUUGGAGCCCGUUAAUGGGUGACAGCGUGCCUUUUGUAGAAUGAACCGGCGAGUUACGAUCCCGUGCAAGGUUAAGCUGAUAAGGCGGAGCCGCAGCGAAAGCGAGUCUGAAUAGGGCGAAAUAGUACGUGGUCGUAGACCCGAAACCAGGUGAUCUACCCAUGUCCAGGGUGAAGUUCAGGUAACACUGAAUGGAGGCCCGAACCCACGCAUGUUGAAAAAUGCGGGGAUGAGGUGUGGGUAGCGGUGAAAUGCCAAUCGAACCUGGAGAUAGCUGGUUCUCUCCGAAAUAGCUUUAGGGCUAGCCUCGCGGCAAGAAUCUUGGAGGUAGAGCACUGAUUGGACUAGGGGUCCUUACCGGAUUACCGAAUCCAGUCAAACUCCGAAUGCCAACGAUUUAUCCGCGGGAGUCAGACUGCGAGUGAUAAGAUCCGUAGUCGAGAGGGAAACAGCCCAGACCACCAGCUAAGGUCCCAAAGUAUACGUUAAGUGGAAAAGGAUGUGGCGUUGCUUAGACAACCAGGAUGUUGGCUUAGAAGCAGCCAUCAUUUAAAGAGUGCGUAAUAGCUCACUGGUCGAGUGACGCUGCGCCGAAAAUGUACCGGGGCUAAACGUAUCACCGAAGCUGUGGAUUGUCUUACGACAAUGGUAGGAGAGCGUUCUAAGGGCUGUGAAGUCAGACCGAAAGGACUGGUGGAGCGCUUAGAAGUGAGAAUGCCGGUAUGAGUAGCGAAAGACAAGUGAGAAUCUUGUCCGUCGAAAGCCCAAGGUUUCCUGAGGAAGGCUCGUCCGCUCAGGGUUAGUCGGGACCUAAGCCGAGGCCGAAAGGCGUAGGCGAUGGAUAACAGGUUGAUAUUCCUGUACCACCUCCUUUCCGUUUGAACGACGGGGGGACGCAGAAAGAUAGGGAGAGCGCGCUGCUGGAAAUGCGCGUCCAAGCGAUUAGGCUGGUGAAUAGGCAAAUCCGUUCACC
rnacentral:rRNA from 1 species